rnacentral:lncRNA from 1 species
AAUUCACAACUAAUCAUAAUUAAAAAUAGUAUUUAUUCAACUUGUAACAGUAACGUACAAUAACACAUAAUGCUUUAUCAUUCAGUUGUGACAACCAAAUGAUUUAAAGUUUACAAGAAUAGUAGACGUCUUGCUCACAAGCUGAAAAUUCGGCCCACUACUCACCUCUGAGCUUCUUAGGCCUUUAUUUAUAAGUUAUAACAUAAUCUGUCUGAUCCGAAGUUUGUAUUUAGAAUGUAUGACUAAAUUCAAAUGACGGUCUAACUCUGGAAGUGGUGUGUUUAGGUGCAGGGAUAAGCGAUGAGUAAAUUCUUUUUGGGUGAUAAUGAAGGUAGGUUGUGGUAGAAAUGACGGUGAACUCAUAUUCGAGAAGAGGAAUUGUAUUUGUUAAUCCCCUCCCCUUGGAUGGCGUGGUGGUCUUCUAGGUGGAGGUAGAGGUGGGCACCUUCUGCGUGGCGGAGGAGGUGGAGGUGAUCUCUUUGGUGGUGGAGGUGGAGGGGGGCUCUUUUUCGGCGGAGGUGGUGGUGGAGGUGAUUUCUUAGGUGGUGGAGGUGGAGGUGGACACUUUUUUGGUGGAGGUGGUGGUGGAGGUGAUUUUUUAGGUGGGGGAGGUGGUCUGCUCUUUCUUGGUGGAGGGGGAGGGGGAGGUGAUUUCUUAGGUGGGGGAGGUGGAGGUGGGCUCUUUUUAUGUGGCGGAGGAGGUGGAUGUUUUCUCUUUGGUGGUGGAGGUGGAGGGGAGGGUGGUGGUGGUGAAGGUGGCGGAGGAGAUGGUGGCGGAGGUGAUGGUGGUGGGGGUGAUCUUCUGUUGGGUAAUGGCGGGAAAUGUGGAGGUCUGAUUAUUGGUGGUAAUGGUUUAAUGGGCGGUGGCAAACGCCGCGGUGGCGAGGGAAUUAUUUUAGCAUUGGCAUUUGCCACAAAGAUGGCGAAAAUUGCCAGGAGUUUCCACAGCGAAGCUAUGUGGCUCGCCAUGGUUGCUAAAAAGAUGUAUUUGCUGUCGACUGACUCACUUGUGGAGUUGAUGGUUCUGUGAUCGAUGGUUUAUAUAGAUGAUGAUUGGAAAUGACACCUUGCUGGUGAAUGGGGGAGGAAUAUGCAAGCUGCGUAGCUACAAAAUAUAGGCACGCAUGCAAAUUAAUCAAGUGCUAAAUCUGGCUUUGGGGUUUGGUAAGCCUACCAUAGACUAGAUGGUAAAACGGAAUUGAUCCGUACCAACUUGAAUAUUAAUUAGUUUCGUUUUAAAAGUACGUGCCAAACUUGAAUUAAUUGCUCUUGUUUUAGAAGUUAGCCUUAUUUGGCUUAAACACUAUGCAUUACAAAAAUAGGAGUGAAACUUUGGAAACACAUAAAAUAUCACAAAUCUUAGAUUAGGGAGUAUAUGUUUUAUUAAAACUUUGCGAAACGUAAACAAUUCAUUGAAUCUUUUUUAAAAAAAUGUUAUUGACCUCCAAAAGUUGACAAUAGAAAAUACCGAAACUGGAAGAUUAUAAUGAAAAGAGAGAUUUAACGCUUUUGUUAUUGUAAUGUUAUUAUACUGAAAUAUCGAUUUUCUUUUAAUGUUGGUGAACGAUCUCAUUUUAUUUCUCAUUAAAUUACCCAAACAUGUCCUUAAGUGCAACAAAAUCUUCAAAAUAAAGCCCUAUUUCCAUUUUCUACAUUGUUUUCCAGCUUAACGUUUGUUCAAGUCUGUUCCUUUUACUACGGCCACUUCUUUUUUUUCUUGUUUUACGUUUGGUCAUCGUUACUAAACGUUGUCUGUAUUUACAUCAAAUAGAGAGUAUAAAUCCAAAUAUAAAAGUGAAUAUUGCCAGUAGCGUAGAUUAAGUUCUUAUAUUAGCCACUGCUCCCCUCUAUUAAUUCAAUUUUCACGCUAAUUUCGGAAUAGUUAAUACACACACAUACACACUAUAUAUGAGUGCGUGUAUGCAGAUGUGUGUGUAUAUGUACACAUAUAUGUAUUUAUGUAUAUGUAUAAAGAAAUCACUGAAUCUUCUAGACAGGACGAUGAAUUCUAUAAAAACUAGUGUAGGAUUCUUAAUCCUGUAUUGAUCUUUACAAUGUCCCUAAAAUCUAAAUAUUGUGCAAAGAAAAUAAAGAUAAAAUCUUAUUGCUGCCAAAAAAAAUGAAAUCUUAUAAAAAGAAGGAUGUGGAAUUUCAUGAUUACUAAAUUGGGAUCGAUCCUUCAUAUUGAUCCUGUUUAACUCUAAUGCUGAACCGAAAGGCGCUUAUGGGAUUCAUUUUCUGGAUUUAGGUGGGCUAAGAAGAUACACAAAGUAUAGAGGAGCAGAGAUAAUAAAUGUCCAGCUUUUUAUGUUGUGCAUGAAGCCGGGUAAUACAGGGUUAUCUACCAUGCUAGGCACAGGGCCUCUUUUUAGUUAGAAAACAAACAUCACUAAUAAGGAAAAAGGCAUUCACUUUUUGCUGAGAAUUAAACAAAAAAAAAAAUCCCCACAUUUUUUAGAGUUCUGAUUUCGCGGAGUUGAAUGUAGAUAAGGGGUAAGUGUCAAUGCCGUAAAAGUCUCAAUCUCCAACACUACUCUGAUCAUGAAUAUUCAUUGAAGUUAUAUAUGAUGAGACCUUGAAGAAUAAAAUUAGUGGUAACAUAGAUUAAUACGUCCACUGCUUGUAGAAUAAAAAUGGAGAAAAUUUAGAACAAUCCAUUGAGAUUUCUUGAAGUUUAGCAACAAAUAAUCCAUUGAGUGCCAUCCGACCUCAGUCCUCCAGUGUCUAAAAUUGGCAUUCAAAAACUUAGAAGUCUUGAUUUCGAAUUUGCUUUCCCCUUUUCCAUUCCACAAUAAUUUAGAAAAAAAUUCCAAAAAAUAAUGUUAAAACCCUAGAAAUUAGAGGUACUGAAUUCCAAUCCCCCGUCACCCUCUCACGUCUGGAAUCCCAAUCAUCUCACGGUUAAAAAAGAAAUCCAUUGAGUUUUUUUUUUUACAUUUUCUAUAUAUUUUCUCAAACACUUCCACUCUUAUUCAAAAAUAUUUAAGAACAAAAAAAAAAUCGUUUGCGCUAUUAGUUUUUUAUUAACAUUUCUUUAUUCUUCUUUAAUUUCCAAAAAAGUUUUCAAACCUGUUUGCUGCCGGUACUUGAGCUUUUUCAAAGUUUCAUUUGUCUCACGUACUAUACUAUUUUCUUUUUGUAUGUGAAUGUAGCGCACAGCUCACUUGCAAUUUCCAUCUCUUUUAGCCGGCUUUUUUGGUGUUCAGUGAGUAAAUUAACAUGAAAAACAAUAUAACAAGACGAAAGAGUAUUUUGGAAAAAUUUUGUGACCUGUGACCGAUUUUACCCUUUAUUAUAUAAAUUUUGGCGGUCUUAUGCAAAGAGGAUAUGCGAGAGUAGAAUAAACAGUCCCCACCACUUAAUUUAUAGUGUAGUUGGGCAAAAAAUUGGAUAGAAAGAGAGUUUGUAAGAAGACAAAUAAAAGAAAUGAGGAGUGGAUUGGUAACUCAAAUUUUUCUUUCUUCUAACUGAAUUUUUUUAUCUCUUUAAUAAAGAAAGGCGAGUUAAGUCACCUUAAAAAAAAAAAAAAAAAAAGAGUUAAGCCACCUAUAAUUGUUCCAUUAGGUCAUAAAAAAAAUGCAUCAAAAUCAAUAAUUUGGCAUUUAGAUGCUAAGCUUGAAAUCAAAACGGACUGUCUACAGUAGUAAGCGAUGUUAGGCAAGAUACCGCUAAUAGGUUGGGCUAUGUACUAAAAAUAUAUACGUAUGUAUACAAAACAGAUCAAGCAUUAUCCACAUUUUAGUAAUGGUAAUAAAUAAUCAAUAUAAGUGUAUAUAAAGUAGAAAAUUAAUAAAUUGAAAUUUACAAUAAAUAAGAAAGUAUAGACUAAUAGAAACAAAUGAAAGCUUUUCCAAAUUUUAGUAGUGGUAAUAAAUUAUCAAUUUAAUAAUAGUGAUAGAGAAUGCAGUUGUAGGGAAUUAAAAUACGAAAGAUAUUGAAAAAAUAAAUUAAGUAAUAAAUUAUAAAAACAUAUAUAAAAUAGGUAAUUGAUAGAUUUUUUAUAUUUACUAUAAAUAAGGGAUAAAAAGGACUGUAAUUUAUUGUUAUAAAAUAUAGAUACAGAAUAAAAUCCACCUAGAAACAUAAGCAAACACUUUUUUUUUUCACAAAGCAAAAUGAUAAAAUUUUUAUUUCACAAAAUAUAGAUAAUUUACGAACUUACCAAAAUGGGAAGUGGAUAGCAAAUUAAUAUAUAUGUCUACGUGUUAUAUAUAUAUAUAUGUAUGUAUAUGUAUUUGUGUGUGAAUCUUCUAAAGAUAAAGGUGCAGAGAAAAACUAUCUACGUGAGCAUUAAUGCAGUAUUUUUUGUCCAAAUUUUAGUAAUAGUAAUAAAAAAAUCAAACCAACAUUAGGAAUAAAGAGUGUAAUUGAAAAUGAUUAGGAAAGGAAAGAUAUGAGUUGAUUGACAGAAAAAUAGAGAGGAUAAAUUUAUAUAAAUUUAUGUAAGGUGGGUCAUUAAUAAGAAACUGACUAUAAAUAAGAAAUCAUGCUACGAAUGAAUUAAAAAAAGGAAAUUAAUUAUUAACAAAAAAUAGAAAAAGAAUGAAAGAUCACAAACAUUAAUGACGUCCACAUGGCGAAAAGAUAGAUAGUCCACUCGCAAGAUUAAAGUAAUCAACUUAGCAACCUAUCAAAAUCAAAACUGAAAACUGUUUUAUAAUACAUAUACAUAAACAUACAUACACACAUACACAUACAUACAUACAUACAUACAUACAUAUGUAGACACCAAAAUUUUUAUGAAUCAUCUUAUUAUUUAUUUUUGUUUAUCUCUACUUUCUAGUUUUUAAGAAAAAUCAUUUUAAUCUUGUUUGAUUUUUAUUUGAUUGUUUUUGUAAAAAAAAAAUCUGGGAUCCACGCACGUGGGAUCUCUUUCUUCUCCUACAUUUUGUACCAGAAACCAGAACAAGAGGUAGUUGGCAUUUUUGGAGCGAAUUUUGUUUCGAUUUUUCUAUCUUUCCUUUGUUUCCUAAGCAUUAUCAGUACAAUGCCAUCUCACCCAUCAAGAUUCAUCAAGAAAAUUCUGGAAGAAAGCCAUCAAAUGCCUCAAAAAACCUGCAGCAAAAAAAAAAGGGUUUCAUCCGCACCUUUGAACAUAAGGUUUUGGCAACUCUACUUCAUAUAAAAGGGCUAAGGAGGCAUUUCUGAACGGAAGGAGAGAGGAAAAAGAGCGGUGGGGAAACAGAAAGAAAGAGAAAUGGGAGACUGGGAGAGAGAGCAGAAAAUUUCUUAAAAAUCUUGAGCCAGGGUUGAGCAUUAUGCCUUUUUCUUGACCAAAAUCCGAUCUUGAUUCUAGUCAUUUAGGUGUUUUUUUUUUUUUUCAUUUUGCACCAUCUGCCUUAGUUGAGAGACAAAUUUUGUUCAGAAAACCUUUAGAGAAAACGCCUCCAAGAUUGUUGAAUUCGGGCUUGAAGUCACUGCAUCGUCAGCCCUUGAAGUCAAUUUCUAGGAGUUUUCAACUUCACCUUCCUGCACUUGGAUUCAUUUUUCUUCGAGGUUCAUCGUACCUACUCGUCAUAGGUAGUUCAUUUUACUCCUUUCCUCUUCAUAUAAGCAUAGAUCCUCACCCAAUCUAUCAAAAUUUUACUGCAUUUGUUCUUCCUUUCUCUUCUUUUGAUGUUCUUCUCCUCUUUUGUAAACCAUUAGCUCAGGUUUCUAUUAUAAUCUUAUGUUAAAUAUGGUAUUUGGGUAAUAAAGGUGGGUGUUGAUGAUGAGGUUGCAUGACCUUAUGUGUUUUGAAUCCAAAUUUUUUUUGGAAAUCGUUUGGGGACGGUUGCUGCGUUUGAUUGGCUGCAAAUGUUGCAACAAAGCUUCGAACAGCUUGCAUGGAGAAAAAUCCAAAAUUGCAAUUUGGCCCACCGACUUUUAAACAAUUGCGUUAAGGCCCAAAAUUUUGGAAAAAAUGAAUCAAAAUUUUCCUUUUCAAACCUUGAUCCUCUUUUCAUAUUUUAUGUAUGUUUUGAGAAAAUUAUUUUUGGGUUUUAGAGUGUGAUUAAGGUCUAAAUAAUUUUGUUGAAUUUGUUUUCCUAAAAGGACAUGUUCUUUUCUUCCUUGGGUUUAGGAAAAUAGUUUAAGAGUUGGGUUAGGGUUAUUUUGUUGGGCUUGGGGAGUGAGUUUGUUUUUAUUUUUCUUUGGGUUAUGAUAUGGGCUUUAUGACCAGGCCUAACGUUUUUUGGUUGGAUCAAAAAAUGGGCUAGGUGGUCCUUUUAUCUGGAUUUUUCUUUGGGCCAAGGUGGUUUUCGCCCCAAGAAGAAGAAAAAAAUGGCCCGUUGGCCUUUCCUUUUAAGAAACUAGAGACAGAUUUUUCAGUUUAGUCACUGAUCUUUCAAAUUAUUUUAAUGUAACCUUAACAACUUUGGAUUUCUUUCAAUUAGGUCCUUAAUUUAAAUUUAAUUUGGUCCCUAAACUUUAUCUUUUAUUUACUUUUGACCCCUAAUCUUUGUAAGAAUUAUAAUUUGAUUUCAAAAACUUUUAAAGUUUUUGUAAUUGGGUCCCUGACAGCUUGAUUUCUUAAGUAUAAUUUGUUUAUCUUCAUUAAUUGUUAAUCAUGCCUCAUUUAAAUGCAUUUAAUUAGUAAAUUUUAGGGAUUUUAUAUUUAUUUGUAUUCCUUUAUAGUAAUAAAGCAAAUUUGUUAUAUGUUUACACUUUCUUUUAAAUUGUUAAUUAAAUUGGUGUCUUGAAUAUUGUGUUGGUUUUGGAGUAUAAAUAAGGCAAAUUCCACCUCAUUUAACUACUACUUCAAGAGAGGUACUUUCUAUUAUUAUUUUAAAUCUUUUUAUGUGCUCCUAUGUAUUUUUUAUCUGUGAUUGCAUGUUUUAAGUGCUUUUUCUUGUAUUUACUCAUUUAAAAUUUUUAUUUAUUAUAUUUAAUUUUUGAUGAUUAUUUGGAGGGCAUUUAAAUGCCAAAUUGUAAUAGAUAAAUGCUGAAAAAUGUAUUUAGUUAGGCUAUGUAAUAGAUAGAUUUUAUUUUUGCCAAAAAACAUAAUUAGUUAGAUGAAUGUAAUAGUUACAUUAUUAUUUUUCAAAUUCCCUCCUUAGAUUGUAGUUAGGACCCCAAAUAUAAUAGUUAGGUGUUUAUAUGCUUUUAUUUGCUUGUGUGCUUGCAUGCUUAUGUGCUUAUAUGUUUAUUUAUUUUUUUAGGAUUUUACAUCUAAAUAUCAUGUUUAAGUGUUAUGUGCUCUAUGUGCUUUAUGUGUUUAUUUGAUUUAAUAAUAUUUUAUAUGUUUUAUUUAUUUAUAAUCAGUGCAUGACGACAUCACACUAAUCCAAUGCUAGUUGUGACCUUUCUCCCCAUUUUCUUACUAGUCCAAUAUUAGUGAGGACUUGUAGGAAUAGGUUAGUCCAAUGGUAGACCCUUUAGUCCGUUUUCGCGCUAAAUUCAUACAUUGUGUGGCAUUUAUUACAUUUCAUGCAUUUUUCCUAUUUUUAGGUUAUUUUCAUUUUAUGAUAUUUUUCCUACUUUUAUUCCCUUACCCUCUAUAUGUUUGGACCAUAUCAUAUAAAAUUAUAUUUCACUUUAAGAAAUUAGAAAUAGAUUAGUCCAUUUGUUUGACUAGAUUGAAAGAGUCACCCUUCAAAUAUGGGAAACGAACGAGUAUGACUUCUUAACCUUAACACGCUCUUAUUCCCUUUAUAAAAAGAAAAAUUGAGUCACGAAUUUUAACAUCCUGUACCUGUUAUGUUGCAUUACCCCUUUUCUAGAUCAUGUAUAUUUAUCUAUAUAUUAUAAUUUCUUUUUGAGUCUUAUCUUUUGUAUUUUUCGUGACCUCUUCUAAGAAUAAUUCUUGGGCAUCACAAUUAAUGUGAUUUAUACCAAUUAAAUUUUAAAGAGACAUUUCGACCUUCCCGAUAUCCUUUUAGUCUAGAUUUGCAUCCAUGUAGAAACAUCCAAAUGUGAUAAGUUUUAUAAAUUAGAUUAGGAAAAUUUUUGACUAAAUCUCACAAUUAGUCUUGGUUAGAUUGAAAGGGUACCUUAAGUUUGAAUCUAUCAAAUUUUUGUCUUUCCUUUCUUCAACUGUAACUCCCGAACUUUUUUCUUUUGUUUUCAAAGAUCUGGAGUCGUCUAAAAGGGAUUCUAUUUGUUUAUUUAAAAAAUAUAUUUUAGUUAAUUUGGUACACCUAAACUCAAUAUCAAAUGAUGACUCUACUUUUUUUUUUUCUAAAAAUACUUUUUAAAACUAUUAUUUUGGGUACAAACCGUUGCAUUUUCUAAAUCUCAUUUUAGGCCCUUCUUUUUCCUUUAUUUUCUAAAAAUAUAAAUUCAUUUUUUCAACACUAAAUUUAUUUUUCAAAAAAUAAGGGCAUGACAUUUGAUGACUCCACUGGAAAUUUUAGUGAAUCCAAGCACUUGGUUUAAUUGAUUUUUUUCUUCUAAUCUUUUUACAUAUCACAUUGGGGUGUUUUAGAUUGCAUUUUUCUUUUUCUUCUUCUUUUUCUUUUAUGGGAUCAAUGGCCCUUCACCUUUUAGUCUGAAGGUUUGGGAGUGUGAAACUUUAUUGAGUGUAGAUGCAUUAACGAGUUCAAUUUCAUGCAUCUAUGUUAGAAAUCUCCUAGAAUAGAGUCGGCCUUACCCUAUUAGAAAUAUUAGACACAAGGGGGGAGAUUCUACCCCUGUUUCUCUUCUUUAUCUUUUAUUCCUGUAUCAUUUUAUUGCUCCAACGUGUUAUAUGAACUAACCUCUGUUUGUUUUCUCUUCUCUUGCAUUCAUAAACUUUAAAAAUAAGAGUUCUGACAUGGUACUCGUUUAGGACAGACCGCCUUUUAUAAAAAACAUGUUUAAAUUUUAGUUAUUGCAUUAAUAAUACGUAUAUAUUGCAUAUCAUUUUAGUCUUACCCCCGACAUUUAAAUGGGACACCUUUAGGUCAUAUUCCAAUUAUCGUAUUUUAUAUUUACUUGUUUUAAUAAACUGUCAUCAUGCAUCAACUAUAGAGAGAAUGCCGCAUAAGGGAUCCCAUGAUAGAAAUAAGCCAUCUUGUGUCUCAAAUAUCUAAUCCAGUGAGACUCGUAUGUUUAUAAUUUUAUACUUCCUAAGGGGUAAAAUCCCAAAAUAAGGUAUAAAAAAGUGAAUUUUUUCCAAAUAGUUCCUUGUAGAGUGCUAGAUCAAAUAUCUCGAGAACUAAUCGAUUGAAAAAAUAAUGUCGCAUGAGAUGAAAAAAUUGUUCAAGUAUGUGGGGUACCUACCAAGUCUUCUGAACAUGAUGUUUAAUGUUGCAAUCAUCCAAACUCUACUUGAGUAUUGGGAUCCAGAGGGUUCGAUUUUUUGGUUUGGUGAAUGUGAACUGACAUUGACUUUGAAAAAAAUAGAAGAACUAUUGCAAGUACCAAAAAAGGUCAUCCUAUUGUGUACCCAAUUGGUAGAACGAGAGAGUAGUUUUGUAGAUUUUUGGAAUUGAGGCAAAAUAGCAUGGACCGACAUCCGGAUGCAAAAUCAUACCCGUUAGAGUUCCUAUAUAAGCGAUUUAGGCAAAGGGAAUCCUAUGAACAGUGCCACACUGAUUUCUUCAUAAGGAACAAUAGGAAGAGAAGCGUGCUCAAGCAUUUGGAUUAGUUUUGAUCAAUUUGUUAUUGUUCCCGCAAAGGCAUGGAAAGGUCACUUUCUCAACUAUCAACAUGAUUCAGAACCUCUUUUGGGAGUCAACUGAAAGACACCCACUUUGGUACCGGUUAUCAUAGCUGACAUUUUCACUACCUUACUAAAUAUCAAAAGAAAAAGGGGUUCUUCUAUGCAUCAAAUUUAAUACUUCAAAUAUGGGUAAUGGAGCAUCUAGCGAAAAGGACGCUCAAACCCUUGGGAUGUUGUCUCCCAACAGAGAAUUGGAUUGAAUCACACCGAGAAAGGGUCAAAAUGUAUUACCGAAUGACAUCUCCAAGUCAGUUUAUUUAAGAGUUUGAUAAUUUGACACCGGAUAAAGUACAAUGAAUUUUGGAUUGGACAAAAGUUAGGUAUUCGACAUUCAAAACUACUCAACAUAGUUUUAUUCCUCUGGCAGGCACCAAUGGAUUGGUUUCAUAUAUUCCACAACAAGUCAUGAGGCAAUUUGGCUAUCCACAAAGAGUUUCGAUGAUACAAGAAAUUGAGAAUAUCAGAUUCAACACAAUUGCUGAGAGUCGAAGCAUGGCACUAGAAGUUUGGGGGAAUUUUCAUGAUUUAGAAAACCUGUACUUGGAUCAAGUGAACAAAUUAAAACCUAAUAUCAUUUCAGAAUAUGAUAAAUGGAUCAAGCUGAAAGUGGAACGAGAAAGAAGGAAGUCACAAUCUUCUCCCACCAGUCUUGAAGAGCAAAUACAGAAGUUAAGGAAGGAGUUAGAGAAUUAUUAAUUGCAAAAUUUAAUGACCGAUCAUGCUUUGAAAGAUGUCAGAUCGUAAUUAAAGAAAGAGACAAGAAAAAUUGAAAAGUUAGAGAGAGCAUUAGAUGCAUUUGAUAAAAUUCGAAAAGAAAUUUGAAAAUUUAGUGUAGGAAUCUCUAGGGAGUCUCAACAUAUUAGUUUAGCAAGGUAUGGAAAUUUUUAAAAAUAGUCAGCUAAACCAUCAAUGUAACUGUAAAGAAUGAUUAAAUUUAUCAAUGUUUUAUGAGAUUUUCUAUUCUGAUUUUUACAUUCACCUACAAAUUUGAUAUUGAAAUUUUACCUCGAAGGAGUUGCAUCAUAUUAGACCAAUCCUUGGCAUAAAAAGAGUUUCUCUAUAGGACAUGCAUCUAAAAUUAUUCAAAUAUUUACUAAUCCAUGUCUUUUUCUUUUUUUUUUCUUUUGAACAAAUUACAGCAGUAGAAAAUGUACUUCUGAGCCGAUUUCUUUUCCUUAUUUUUAGGUACUUGCAAACAUAGCUACCUUAGGAGCCCCAUCAUUACGCGGUCCCAUAGCAAAGUCUUGAGAAAUCGUGAAAAAAUGAGUUUUCAUCCGUAGCUGUCGGACAAAUCUGCAAUAAUUCCAUCAUUAGACGCUGCAAAUCUGAGGGUUCAAUCGACUGAAAUGUUGAAUAGAUUCAAUGAGUUAAGUGCAGCAAUGGCAGCGCAAAAGCGCAUGAUCAAUCAAUUGUUCUCAAACAACACUAGCAGUGUCCAAAAUGACCAUAUACUCAUUGACGAUAAUCAACAUUAGUUAGAAAACUAACCACCUCACAUGUCACAUAGUCAAAUCACUUUUGUCCCACCUUUUAUAAGUCCACUUGGAGGUGCCUUUACUUACCUCAUCCCCAGUUUAUCACAUACAUAUCAAAAUAAUAUUUUUGUCAACCCAACUAACAAUCAAAUUUCUCAAAAUUACCCACAAAUCAACUUGAAUAUCCCAUCUAACUCUCAAAGAUCCCAUCAUCCCAUCAUAGAGUCAUUCAUGUUGGAUACUACCUUUCAAGGAAGGGCAGAAAUAGACGAACACUCUACUUCAAUUAAUAAGAAUUUACUGAAAAGAUUGGAUCGAUUUGAUGAAUUCAUGAAAAGAAGUCAGAGAUUGAAGCAUGGAAGCUUGGACUAUGAUGAACUGUGUCUCUUUCCGGAUAUGUAGUUGUCUCUAAGUUUUAAAACUCCUAAAUGUAGUAAGUAUAAUGGAACUGAAAAUCUCAAAAUACAUCUCUAAAUGUUUGUGAACAAGUUAGGGAAGCUAGUGGAUGAUGAAAACCUACCGGUGCUUUUGUUUCCUGAAAGUUUGGAGGGCGACGCUUUGGACUGGUAUUCCAAUUUAAAGAUUGAAGAGAUGAAAACUUAGAUGGAUUUGUCUACAACUUUUGUGAGGCAAUAUGAGUACAACUGUGAACUUGAGCCGACAAGAACAACGCUCGAAGGAACUAUGAGAAAAUCAUCAGAAGAUCAUAAGACAUAUGCUAAACGUUGAAAGAAAUUGAUUGUCAAGGUUGAACCCCCUAUGACUGAGGAGGAGAUUAUCCACACAUUCAUUAAAGCACAUGACCCACUUUACUUUGAAGAGAUUUUUCGUAUGACUAGGUAUUCAAUUGCUGCUAUUGUCAACAAAUUUGAAGAAUUUGAUAAGUUUGUCAAAGAAGAAAACAUAGUUAACAUGUCAACGUUAAAAAUGCAAUUGGAAGCCCUACAGAGCCAAAAUAAUCCUGGAAAGAAGCCUCAAUUCAAGAAAAAAUGAGAGACUACCUUUGUAUGUGAUCAGGGCCCCUCAACUAGAUCCAGAUUUUAAAAUCACCCCACCUACUCAUCUCCCUAUCCAUACUAUCCAAAUCCCCAACCUGUUUAUCACACUACCAUCAACCAUUCUCGCCCCCAACCAAACUAUCAAGCACACCUGCAUUACCUUUUUAGAUUUUUUGAACUAAACUGGCAAAUUCGACCCCAACCCUCUUAUAAUCCAAGGCCUACUCUAUCAAAUAACCAAAUCUAUAACCAUGCUCAAACUAGUAGAUCCCAAAUCCAAAACGAGUUUCAAACCUUCACUAAUUUAAGCUGCUUUUCCGAUCAAUUGUAUGAACAACUUAAAGCUACUAGCAAAGUCAGCAUUGUGCCUCCUAAAAUAUAGCUUAGCAGUGUUCCUAUCGGUUAUGAUUCUCAAAUCAUUUGCGCCUAUCAUUCUAGGAGUUCUGGUUACUCUACUAUCAAUUGUUGGGCAUUGAAACACAAAAUUCAAGACAUGAUUGAUGCCGAAAAUAUAGUUUUGAGGAGGAGAGGUGAAUAAGAGACAAAUGUCAGCAAGAAUCCUCUUGCUCAACAUAAGAGCACUGUGAGGGCUAUUACCACUGACCAGAAGUUUGAAAAACCUGCCCAAUAUAUUAUAGACGAGAAUGAUGUAAUUCAAAUAAUUGAGAAGUCAUUUAUAUUGGAAGAUGAACUUUUCGAAACUAGUGAAAAUCCUUUCAUCCUAGACUUGUCGGAACUUGUGAUACUUGAAUUUUUUGAACAAUCACUUGUUCACAACUUACAAGAAGUACCAUGGGAUUAUAAUGAACCUACCCUAGUGAUUGGGAAUGUAGGGGUGUCAACGGUGGAGGUGGCUGCCGUCACUGGAUUUGAAAAAAUCGUGGAUAAUUCUGAAGUUUCUGUCCAACCAAAGGUGAAGAAGAAUGCUUUACCGUUGAAGCCAUCGGUGAUUGAGGAGAAUGCACUGAAUUUUCUCAAGUUACUGACGAGGAGCGAGUACAAGGCCAUAGAACAAUUGGACAAAAUAUCUGCCCAAGUCUCUAUGCUGGACUUACUUUUAACUUUCAAAUUACAUAGGGAGACACUGUUUAGAGUUUUGAAUGAGACUCAAAUACUAAGAAAUAUUUCAAUCGAUAAAUUCGCUAACAAUAUGGAGAAUGUUUUGGUUUUCAACUACAUAACUUUUUCUGAUGAGGAUCUGACUUUGAAGGGGAUCAAGCAUAAUAAGGCGUUGUAUAUUUUAAUAUGGUAUAAUAGAAAGUUGGUGUCCAGAGUUCUGGUAGAUAAUGGAUUUGUUUUGAAUAUUUGCCCCUGAAAUACUCUUACAAAGCUUGGAUUUCUUGAUGCCAGAUUGCGAUCAUCUGCGACAAUGGUGAGAGGAUUUGAUGGUGUAAUAAGGGAAUCAAUGGGUAAGGUUGAUUUGGUGUUGGAAAUAGGACCUGCCAAAUUUCAAGUGGUUUGCCAAGUUAUGGACUCUUCAAGUGUUUACAACAUCCUAUUUGGAUGACCUUGGAUCUACACUUCUAGUGUUGUUCUAUCUUCUCUCUAUCAAAAGGUGAAAUUCAUUAUGAAUGAUCAACUAAUCAAUGUGUUCACUGAAGAUGAUUACACAAUGAUCGUCAAUUCUGCAUCAAAUGAGGAGAAUAGUAAAAAAACUUUAGUUUCUUCUCAUCAUAUUGCUGACAUUGUUUCAGUAGGGUGGAUGUCUAAAGAAAAUUCAUUGAUGAAAAUGGGUUUACUGGAAGCUAGUGCCAUGAUGGCCAAGAAAAUGAUCCGAGAAGGGUAUGAAAUAGGUAAAGGUUUGGGGCAGAAUCUGCAAGGUAUCUUGGAACCGAUAGAGAUUUUGAGGAAGAAAGAUACAUUUGGAUUGGAAUUUCAACCAACCACUAAGGAUAAAAAUGAGAUGCAAGCUGGUAAGAAAGUGAACAAGGAAGAAAAGCAGAUCGUCAUGAGGAGAACCCGAUUGAGGAGAUUGAAGUGGGUCUAUCUCAACUGUUCAUUGGAGCCACUUGCGAGAAAGAGCCGCUAGAAGAUAUGGAGUUCCAAUAGUCCCUGAAAGAGCUAUAUAAAAUUGGACUACCGACUAUCUUCCCUCUCGAAAGGAAUUUUUAUGGAUAAAAAUAAAAUCAUUUGAAUCUUCAAAUAUCACCAUUUUGUAAUUCAAUAAUUGCAAACUCGAUAUAUUUCACAAAUUUAAAAUUAUAGAAUUCGAAAUUCAAAGUGAGAGUGAUAGCGAGUAGGAACCAGUCUUUUUUAAAGAUUCUUGAACAAUAUGAAGAGAAAUCCAAACCGAAUUUAGUAGAGAUAGAAAUCAUUAACAUUGGCACUAAAGCGGAGGUUAAAGAAAUUAAAAUUAGUGUACAUUUGAAUAAGAAGUAGAGAAAAGAGAUGAUCAAAUUCUUAACUAUAUUCCAAGACAUAUUUGCAUGGUCGUAUGAUGAUAUGCCUAGGAUUUCAAUAGAUAUAGUGGUACACAGACAGCCAACUAACCCAAAAUUUUCACUAGUAAAGCAAAAAUCGUACAAAUUUAAACCAAAUGUAAGUCUCAAAAUUAAGGAGCAGAUCGAUAAACAGUUCAAUGCCAGAAUUACCAUAGUACCUCAUUAUUGCAUUUGGCUUUCAAAUCCCAUACCUGUUUCGAAGAAGAGUGGAGAAGUGCAGGUCUGUGUUGAUUAUAGGGAUUUCAAUAAAGUCAAUCCAAAGGAUGAUUUUGCUCUACCUAAUAUUCACAUUCUUUUAGAUAACACUGCUGGACAUGAAAUUGAAUCUUUUGAUGAUUAUUUCACUAGAUAUCAUCAGAUUUUGAUAGCAGAAGAAGACAGAGAGAAGACUGGUUUCAUCAUUUCAUGGGGAACAUUCUGCUAUCAGAUAAUGUUGUUCGGGUUGAAAAAUACUGGAGUCACUUAUCAAUGAACCAUAAUCACUUUGUUCCAUGAUAUGAUUCACAAGGAGAUGGAGGUUUAAGUGGGCAAUAUUAUCAUUAAAUCCAAGAAAGUUGAAGACCAUCUGGUUGAUUUAAAGAAAUUAUCUAAAAGGUUGAGAAGAUACAGUUUAAAGUUGAAUCUUACAAAAUGUGCUUUUAAAACUUUCGUCAGUAAAUUGUUAGAGUUUAUUGUCAGUAAGAAGGGAAUGGAGAUUGAUCCUACAAAGAUCAAGGUAAUCAAUUUUUCGAGAGAUGUCCAUACCAAUAACUCAGAAAGAUGUGAAAAUUUUCCUAGGAAAUAUCAAUUUUAUCGACAGGUUCAUUACUCAGUUGAUGUCUACAUGUGAGACUUUGUUCAAACUAUUAAAGAAAAACGCGCCAAUGCACUAGAAUGAAAAAUGUCAAUAGGCUUUUGAUAAAAUUAAGGAUUAUUUGUUGAACCCUCCAGUUUUAGUGCAACCCAAGCCAGGUCGACUUCUAAUUAUGUAUCUGUCCAUGCUGGAUGAGGUUGUGAGAUGUGUUUUGGGACAAUAUGAUGAUUCGAAAAAAAAAGAGCAAACCAUCUAUUACCUUAGUAAGAAGUUCACCACAUAUGGGACCAAUUAUUCAUUUCUUAAGAGGAGUUGUUGUGCUUUAGUUUGGGCAGUUCAGAAGUUGAGGCACUACUUGCUCAUUUACAUUACUUAUCUCAUUUUUCGUUCCGACCCUCUGAAAUAUUUGUUGAAAAUGUCGAUGUCAACAGUACAUAUGGUGAAAUGGCAGAUGAUCUUUUUGAAAUUUGAUAUUAUUUUUACUAUGCAAAAGGUAAUUAAGUGGCAAGCCAUAACGGAUCAUUUGGCCGAAAAUUUGAGAGAAGAUGAUUACCAGCCAUUGUAUACAUAUUUUUUUGAUGAUGAGAUUUUAUCCAUUUAUGUAUCGAAGACUAUGAAUGAACAAUACCUUGGCUGGAGGCUGUUCUUUGAUGGUGCUUCAAACUUUUUUGGGACCGAAAUCGGAGCUGUUCUAGUGUCACCUGAGAGAAACCAUUACCCGGCCGCUGCUAAAUUGCGAUUUUCUUGCACCAAUAAUAUGGUUGAGUAUGAAACUUGUAUUUUUUGACUGAAAAUGGCAUUGAAAAUAAAGAUUUAUGAUUUAAUAGUGUUUAGUGAUUUUGACCUACUUGUGCAUCAAACACUUAAGCAAUGGGUGACUCGAGAUUUAAAAAUUAUGCCAUAUCAUUAUUGUCUGCUCAGCUUGGCUGAUAAGUUUAAAAAUUUGAAAUUCAGGCAUAUUCCUUGCACUCGCAAUGUUUUUACUGAUGUUCUGGCCACCUUAUCUUCCAUGAUUCGACAUCCGAAUGAGCUGGUAAUUGAGCCUAUACAAAUUCAACUUCAAAAAAAAAUCGGCGCAUUGUCUAGUUGCGGAAAAUGCGUCUGAUAGUCGUCCCUGGUAUAAUGAUAUCAAAGAAUUUAUAAAGACAAGAUCUUACCCUCCGCCUGUUGAUUCGGUUGCUAAAAGUUUUUUGCGCAGAAUGGCAUCAAAAUUCUUCUUAAGUGGAGAAGUGUUAUAUAAAAAAAAUAUCAUAUUUGGACCUUCUGAGAUGCAUUAAUAGAGAUGAAGCUGAUUAUAUGAUGAAAGAAGUACACAAUGGUGUAUGCAAACCAUACUUGAAUGGACGCUUAUUGGCAAAAAAGAUCAUGAGAACGGGCUAUUUUUGGCUCACUAUCGAGCAUGACUGUGUAGAUUUUAUCAAAAAAUGUGCUAAGUGUCAAAUAUAUGCUGAUGUCAUACAUGCUCUUUCUACAGAAUUACAUAGUAUGACUGCUCGUUGGCCAUACUCAAUGUGAAAAAUGGAUGUGAUUAAAGCUAUUGAUCCCCCAAUCUUGAAUGGGCAUCGAUUUAUCUUGAUGGCGAUUGAGUAUUUUAUCAAAUAGGUUGAAACAACUUCUUACAAGAAUGUAACCAAGAAAGUAGUGGCCAAUUUUCUGAGAGACCACAUUAUUUAUCGUUUUGGAUGUAGGAAAUAUUGAUUACUAACAAUGUGAGAAACUUUAAUAAUGACAUGAUAGAUGAAUUAUGUGAACAAUUCAAGAUCAAGUACUAAAAUUCUACUAUUAAUAGGGCUCAGAUUAAUGGAGCUGUGGAAGCCGUGAAAAAAACGUGAAGAAGAUCAUUUGCAAGAUGAGAGAAAGAUACCGAGAUUGGCACAAAAAGCUACCUUAUGUAUUAUUAACUUAUCGGACUGCAAUCAGGACUUUUAUUGGGGUAACGUCUUACUCUCUUAUGUAUGGAAUGUAAAUUGUAUUACCCCCAGAAGUUGAGAUCCUAUCAUUGUGCAUUUUAAUGAAAAUUUAGUUGGAGGAAGCUAAAUGGAUUAAGCAGUGACAUGAGUAGCUAUUUCUGAUUGAUGAAAAGCGAUUAAAUACUGUUUGUCAUGGACAAUGCUAUCAAAGGCAAAUGACUCAUGCUUACAACACAGAUCAAAUCUCACCUAUUUGAAGAAGGGGAUAAGGUACCGAAAUGAAUUCUUCCUAUUCAAGAUGAAGCCAAAGGAAAAUAUGUCUCAAAUUAGCAGGGACAUUUCAUUGUUAAGAAGGUAUUGCCCUGAGGAGCACUCAUUCUCAUGAAAAUGGACGGACGGAUUUUCCCUCAGCCAAUUAAUUCAGAUAUGUGCAAGAAAUUUUCAUCUGAUUAUAUAAGUUUUCUUUUUGAGAUACUGCUUAGGGUGGAUUAAAAGGUGGGCCAUCUUCUUUUCCCUUUAAACAUUUUACCCAUAGUUUUUUCUUUUGAACCUCCAAAAUGAUCUGCUUCUUCGUUUGAUAGCCCCCUAAAGAUCACAAACCCUACACUGCGACAGGUUUUGUUUUUCGUUUGUUGUAAAAAAAGUAAAGUGAAAGUACACAGAAAACAAAGGAAGAACAUGAAAAAACCCAAUCAAAAUUCAAACUAGGGCAAUUUUUAACUUUAUAGCCCUAUAUUGGGACAAAUUUUAUAGAAUGCGGUCCUUAGAUUUUUAAAACGCCUCAAAAGAUCUACUUUCGAGUCUUAACAUUUUUAACAUCUCACCUAACUCUGUUACAAAAGUCAAAAAACUCCCGACUUCCAUCCUUGAUAGUAUUUCUAAAAGAAAAUUUCUUAAUCAAAUGACAAAUGAUGUAAAUACACUUUCACCAAUUUUUGCAAAGGAAGUAUUUUCUCAUUGAUGCCAUCAAUCGUGAAACAUAUUUUGGAAUUGAUAAAAGCCAUUGUUAAAAACUGUUUAUUAGGUAAAAACUCAAAAGGACGCCUUUUUCAAAAAAAGAAGAAGAAAAAGCAAAAAAGAAAAAGCAAAAAAUAAUAAUGAAAAUAAUAAAGGAAAAGAAAAUAAAUGGAGAGGGACAAUCUUAGUGAAAACCCGAAAAAAGGCACUAAGGUAGGGUUUUGAAGUACAAAAAGAGCCAUGAAUGGAAAAUAGAUGGUCAAUUGUUGAAUAACUGGUGACUAUGUUCGUUUGGAUUUUUCUUCAAAUUUGUAUAUGAGUCUCCAAGUCACUUUUCGUAAACUUGAUAAGAGUUAUUUUCUCGUUGAAAAUCAUUUUUACUCUAUUUUUGUGUUGUUGCAUGCAAUAAUCUUGUUUAAAACUUUUGCGUGCUUUCUAUUGAAUUCGGCCAAGAGACAAUCCCCGUAAUUUAUUGUAAGGAGCGUAUAUCUAUGUAUAUCUCAUGGUGUAAAAAAGGUUGGCUGAGUACAAAUAUUAACAAAUCAGGAGCGAGUUGCACAACAUUUCUAAACCGCACAGUUCCUCGACAUCAAAAGGCUCAUGUUUACAUGAUUUUCAAGGCUUGAGGGACUGCACGGAGGUGGCAUUAUAUUUCAUCGCUGUUGUUUUCAUUUUCUUUUGUAAGAUUGGAUUGCGCAUGCUUUCUUGAAUGAAGAGAAAGAACAACACUUAUUUAGCUGAAUCCAAUCUACACUAAGGCAAAUUUUCGUAGAGCUGAUAUCUGAUUUUAUAAGUGAGUUCAAUAUUUGUUUAGAAAAAUAGCAAAAAUCUCUUCACAUCUUUAUUUAAUUGGAGUGCAUUUUUAUUUCUCCGUUUAUUUGUUGGGUUUGAGUUUUAUUCCACUAACCAUUUAUUUGUUAGGUUUGGAUUUUAUCCCAUUAAUCAUUUAUUUUGUUGAAUUUGGGUUUUAUCCCACUAACGAUUUAUUUUGUUGGGUUUGGAUUUCAUCGCACCAACCUGUUAUUUUAUUGGAUUUAGAUUUUAUCCCACAAUUUAUUUAUUUGUUAGGUUUGGAUUUUAUCCCAACGACCAUUUAUUUUUUGGAUUUGAAUUUUAUCCUACCAACUAUUUAUUUUGUUGGAUUUUGAUUUUAUCCCACCAGCCCUUUAUUUGUUAGAUUUAGGUUUUAUGUCAUCAACCGUUUAUUUUAUUGGGUUUGAGUUUUAUCCCACCAACUGUUUAUUUUGUUAGAUUUUAUCCCACUAACCGUUUAUUUUAUUGUGUUUGAGCUUUGUCCCACAAGUCAUUUAUUUGUUGGAUUUGAAUUUUAUCCCACCAACUAUUUAUUUAUUAGGUUUGGAUUUUAUCCCACCAACCAUUAUUUUGUUGGAUUUUGAUGUUAUUCCACCAACUGUUUAUUUUGUUGGAUUUGGAUUUUAUCCUAUCAACCUGUUAUUUUGUUGGGUUUGAAUUUUAUCUCACCAAUCGUUUACUUUAUUGGGUUUGAAUUGUAUCCCAAUUUUGUUGGAUUUGAAUUUUAUCUUACAAACUAUUAUUUUGUUGGGUUUGGAUUUUAUCCAUCAACCGUUUAUUUGUUCAAUUCGGAUUUUAUCCCACCAACCGUUUAUUUUGUUGGGCUUGAAUUUGGAUUUUAUCUCACCAAUCGUUUAUUUUGUUGGAUUUGAAUUUUAUCCCACCAGCCAUUUAUUUUGUUAUGUUUGGAUUUUAUCUCACCAACCAUUUAUUUGUUGAGUUCGAAUUUUAUCCUACUAACCAUUUAUUUGAUUGGGUUUGAAUUUUAUCUCACCAACCGUUUAUUUUGAUUGAAUUUGAAUUUUAUUCCACCAACUGUUUGUUUUGUUGGUUUUGGAUUUUAUCUCACCAACCUUUCAUUUUGUUGGGUUUGGAUUUACCCCACAAAUUAUUUAUUUUGUUGGAUUUGAAUUUUAUCCUACUACUUUGUUAGAUUUUACUAGUUGUUUGGAUUUGAAUUGUAUCUCACCGAUCAAUCUAGUUUUAAAAUAAUUUUACAAAUUUUUGCUAGUUGUUUGGGACUAGGUUAGAUCACACCGAUUAUGCUUACUAAUUCCAAUUUUGUUUAAAAAUUCACUUUAUUUGUCGAUUCAGUUGCAGUUGAAGCAAACGGGUAAGCAAUUUGGUAUCUACGUUUUUGUCUUAAAUUUCUGCAAAACUCAAGCAACGAAGGGUAAAUUGUAGAUACUAAAAUUUUUAUAAAUCAUCUUAUUAUUUAUUUUUGUUUAUCUCUAUUUUUACUUUUUAAGAAAUUAUUUUUAUCUCGUUUGAUUUUUAUUUGACUGUUUUCGUAAAAAACAAAAAAAUCUGGGAUUCCCGUGCGGGAUCUUCUUCUUCUCCUACAUUUUUGUACCAGAAACCAGUACAAGAGGCAGCUGGCAUUUUUGGAGCGAAUUUUGUUUCAAUUUUUCUGCCUUUCCUUUUUUUCCUAAGCAUUAUUAGUACAAUGCCAUCUCACCCACUCACCCAUCAAGAUUCAUCAAGAAAAUUCUGGAAGAAAGCCAUCAAACAAAAAACCUGUAGCAAAAAAAGGGUUUCAUCCGCACCUUUGAAAAUAGGGUUUUGGCAACUCUACUUAAUAAAAGGGUUAAGAAGGCAUUUCUUAAUGGAAGGAGAAGGGAAAAAGAGCAGCAGAGAAAUAGAAAGAGAGAGAAAGGGGAGAACGGGAGAGAGCAAAAAAGGAGGAGAGCAGAAAAUUUCUUAAAAAUCUUGAACUAGGGUUGAGCGUUCUGCCUUCUUCUGGACCAAAAUCCGAUCUCGAUUCUAGUCAUUUAGGUGUUGUUUUUCAUUCUGCACCACCUACAUUAGUUGUGAGACAAAUUUUGUUCAAAAAACCUUCAGGAGAAAAUGCCUCUAAGAUUGUUGAAUUCGAGGUUGAAGUUACUGCAUCGUCAAUCCUUGAAGUCAGUUUCAGGGAGCUUUUAGCUUCACCUUCCUACACUUGGAUUCAUUUUUCUUCGAGAUUCACUGUAUCUACUCGUCAAAGGUAGUUCAUUUUACUCAUUUCCUCUUCAUAUAAGCAUAGAUCCUCACCCAAUCUGUCAAAAUGUUGCUGCACUUGUUCUUCCUUUCUCUUCUUUUGAUGUUUUUCUUUUCUGUUUUGUAAACCAUUAGCUCAGGUUUUUGUUAUAAUCUUGUGUUAAAUAUGCUAUUUGGGUAAUAAAGUUGGGUGUUGAUGAUGAGGUUGCAUAACGUUAUGUGUUUUGAAUCCACAUUUUUUUGGAAAUCAUUUGGGGAUGAUUGCUGCAUUUGAUGGGUUGCAACAGCUUGCAUGGAGAAAAAUCUGAAAUUGCAAUUUGGCCCCCUGACUUUUGAACAAUUGCGUUAAGGACCAAAAAUUUGUGAAAAAUGAAUCAAAAUUUUCCUUUUCAAACCUUGAUCCUCUUUUGCAUAUUUUAUGUGUGUUUUGAGUAAAUUAUUUCUGGGGUUUAGGAUGUGAUUAAGGAUUAAAUAAAUUUUUUGAAUUUAUUUUCCUAAAAAGGCAUGUUCUUUUCUUCUUUGGGUUUAUGAAAAUAGAGUGAGUUUGAAUUUAUUUUUCUUUGGGUUAUGGCAUGGACUUUGUGACCAAAGCCCAAUAUUUUCUGGUUGGAUCCGAAAAUGGGCUUGCUCGUCCUUUUCUCUGGAUUUUCUUUGGACCAAGGUGGUUUUCGGCCCAAGAAGAAGAAAAAAAAUGGCCCGUUGGCAUUUCCAUUGACGGGUUUUUAUUAUACGUACAAGUUAAAAUCCGAUUUACACCCGUUUGACUGCAAGUAUACAGGUCAAAUUAGUAGUUUAGGGCGUGUAUUGGGUCGAUCCCACGAGAAAGAUUGAACAAUUACCGGUGUUACUAAAACUUCUCUAUUAUUUAGACUAUCAAUGAAUUAUAACAAGUAAAACCUACUGAACUUAUACAAGAAAAUAAUAAUUGAAGCUCCUUAGGUUAUGGUAUCCCUAACUACUCAUGCAAGUGCUAUAUUUGGACCACUGAUUACUACUAUCUUGGCUAGCUAUGGUGUAAUUUUCAUAUGCAUAUGAAUUCUACUUUCGUAGUGAAUCAAUUAUACUCAUAAAUAAUCCAUACGUAUUCUCAUGGUUAUGAGAUUAGUUACAAGUUCAUUUCUUCAAUGAAAUUACAUGAAAUGAAUCAUUAAAACCAUAUAGAUGUACCUUUACUCUCUUGAGUGUACUCUCCAUGUUUAGCACUUCUUGAAUUAGUGUUAAAUCUCAAUUUUCAUUGCAGAUAUAACACCUUAGAUAAUCACAAUCAAUGGUACCAGAUUAAUUAUAAUUCAAAGAGGUAAAGUGCUAAAUAGCUUGCUCAAAAUAAUGGCAUCAAACAGCCAAAUAAUAACACUAGUAAUCAUAGAAAAUUCAAUCAAACCCAAGGCAUAAACUUUAGAAACACAUAAUAACAUAUAAAUCCAUAACUUGUAUAUUAACUAAACUUAGAAUUAAGUACAAAAGAUAAAAAGUUGGAAAGAAAAAGUAACCCUUGUCACAUGAGCUCUUUCCUUGCCUUCUUCAUCUCCUUCUUCAUCUUUGCCUAGCUAAAAAACAAGAAGGAUGAACUACUACUCUCUACUAAACUAAUCUAACACUCACAAGAUGUAAGAACUACAUUUCUGCACUCCCAAGUUUUCUCCCGUCUGUCCCUCCCUCAAUCUUGCAAGUUUUUGGCUAUAUAAAGGUAAAAGGUGGUCAAGGAAUGAGGUUUACACCUCCCUUUUAUAGCUGCAAAAUAUUUGUCACAUGUCUAGCAUUACAUGUGACUUAUUGGAGGUGAAAUCAAGUUGUCCGCAUAAAGAGCAGCGUUUUCUUACCACAAUCCGGCCAAGUUCCGGCUGGAUUGCUACAGUGACCUUUUUGUGCAAUUUCUGUUCAAUUUCCAGCUCUGCUCAGAUUUUGCCUCAACUUCAACUGAAUUUUUCUUGAUGAUAGAAGCUGAUUUAACUCUUGACCAAAACAUAAAACUUGUAGCUCUUUAAGUUAGCUUUCCAAUGCCUCAAGAAUCACCUCAUUUGGAUUUGUGUAGGAUAAGAAAUGUCUGAAAUACCCUUGACUGCUCAAUGUCCUGUUUCAGUUUCGACUAAUAGAAAUUAGCUACUGUAAUUCGGCUUUUUGACCUAGAAAACCUUUAAACUGGAUUUCGAUGUCUUCACCAAAGUUGUAGGUCUAUCUCUUAUCUUCAAAUUGAUUUAAGAAUCAUCUCAAUCUGAUCACUGUAACUCAAGUUAUAGCCGAAAUACUAAAAUAUGUCAAAACUGUCAAAAAUGCACAAAAUGCAAGUAAAAAGUGAUAAAUACCUCAUUUAAUCACUUAAGAACAUUUUUCCUAAAUUAUAGCCAAAAUGAUUCAUUUUCUUUCAAUAAUAUAAUGAAAAUGACUAAAAAUAACAUAAAAUAUCAUUCAAAUAUAACGUAAAUUAGUCACUUAUCAUCCAUUUAAGAAAUUAGAGAUGGAUUUUGCAGUUUAGUCCCUAGUCUUUCAAGUAAUUUUACUGUGACCUUAUAAACUUUAGAUUUCUUUCAAUUAGGUUCUUAAUUUAAUUACAAUUCGGUCCCUAAACUUUAUCUUUUAUUUAAUUUUGACCCCUGGUCUUUGUAAGAAUUAUAAUUUGACCUUAAAAACUUUUUAUUUUUGCAUUUGGGUCCCUAACAGGUUGAUUUCUUAAGUAUAAUUUGUCCAUCUUUUUUAAUUAUUAAUCAUCACUCAUUUAAAUGCAUUUAAUUAGUAAAUUUUAGGCAUUUUAUGUUUAUUUAUAUUUCUUCAUAGUAAUAAAGUGAAUUUGUUAUAUGUUUACACUUUCUUUUAAAUUGUCAAUUAAAUUGGUACAUUGACUAUUUUGUUAGUUGUGGAGUAUAAAUAGGGUAAAUUUCAAGGGAGUUAUUUUCUAUUAUUAUUUUAAAUCUUUUUAUGUGUUCUUAUGUAUUUUUUAUGUGUGAUUGCAUGGUUUGAGUGCUUUUUCUUGUAUUUACUCAUUUUAUUCAUAUUUAAUUUUUAUUUAUUAUAUUUAAUUUUUGAUGAUUAUUUGGAGGGCAUUUAAAUGUCAAAUUGUAAUAGAUAGAUGUUCAAGAAAUGUAUUUAGCUAGACUAUGUAAUAGAUAGAUUUUAUUUUUGCCAAAAAAUGUAAUUAGUUAGAUGAAUGUAAUAGUUAGGUUAUUAUUUUUCAAAUUCCCUCCUUAAAUUGUAGUUAGGGUUGCAAAUGUAAUAGUUAAGUCUUUAUAUGCGUUUAUUUACUUGUGUGCUUGCAUGCUUGUGUGCUUAUGUGUUUAUUCACUUUCUUUAGAAUUUUGCAUCUGGAUAUCAUGCCUAAGUGUUAUGUGCUCUAUGUGUUUAUUUGAUUUAAUUAUGCUUUAUAUGUUUUAUUUAUUUAUAAUCAAUGCAUGACUACACCACACUAGUCCAACGCUAGUUGUGACUUUUCUCCCUGUUUUUUCACUAGUUCAAUGCUAGUGAGGACUUGUAAGAAUGGGUUAGUCUAAUGCUAGGCCCUUUAAGCCAUUUACGCGCUAGAUUCAUACCUUCUAUGACAUUUAUUGCAUUUCAUGCAUUUUCCCUAUCUUUAGGUUAUUUUCAUUUGUAUGAUAUUUUCCCUAUUAUUAUUUCCUUACCCUUUAUAUGUUUGGACCAUAUCAUUUAAAUUGCAUUUCACUUUAGGAAAUUAGAAAUAGGUUAGUCCAGUUACUUGACUAGGUCAAAAGAAUCACUCAUCAAAUAUGAAAAACAAAUGAGCAUGGCUUUUUAGUUUUAGCACGCUCUUAUUCCCUCUAUAAAAAGGAAAAUUGAGUCACGAAUUUUAACAUCCUGUACCCAUUAUGUUACAUUCUUCUUUUCUAGGUCAUAUAUAUUUAUUUAUAUAUUAUAAUUUUUUUAGUCCAAUUUUUGCCGUGACCUCUUCUAAGAAUCAUUUUUGAACAUCACAAUUAAUGUGAUUUAUACAAAUUAAAUUUUGAAGAGACAUUUCGACCCUCCCAAUAUCCUUUAAGUCUUGAUUUGCAUCAAUGUAGAAACAUUUAAAUGUGAUAAGUUUUAUAAGUUAGAUUAGGAAAAUUUUUAGCUAAAUCUCGCAAUUAACCUUAGUUAGGUUGAAAGGGUGUCUUAGGUUUGAACCUAUCAAAUUUUUGCCUUCUCUUUCUUCAACCGUGACUCCCGAACUCUUUUCUUUUAUUUUCAAAGACCUUGAGUCAUCUAAAAGGAGUUUUAUUUGUUUAUUUAAAAAUAUUUUGGAUGAUUUGGUACACCUAAAUUCAAUACCAAGUGGCGACUCUUUAUUUAUUUAUUUAUUUCUAAAAACUCUUUUUUAGACUAUCAUUUUGGAUUCAAUCCGUCGCAUUUUCUAAGUCCCAUUUUAGGCUCUUCUUUUUCCUUUAUUUUUUAAAAACAUAAAUUCAUUUUUUCAGCACUAAAUUUAUUUUUCAAAAAAUGAGGGCGCGACAACAUACAUACACAGAUAUAUAUAUAAAUAGAGAGAGAGAGAGAGAGAGAGAGAGAGAGAUUAUCAGUCCAUCUAUGGCUCCAUGGAAGGGAGUUCAUAACAUUUAUUAAUAGAGCAAGCUAUAUAUCUAAAAUCUGUCACCCUAUUAAUUAGUAAUCUCUACUUUGAAUUUUAAGAUUAUCUUACGUACCCUGGAGGGAAUCAAAUAUAUACACGACGUCUUGUGAAAAGUAAAAUGAUUAUAGAAAAACACAUUCCUCCAAUCCAGUUUGAGGUUAAGCCAUCACGUGCUUGUUCUAAUAAUCAUGAUUGGCAAUUUAGCAUAAAGUGUUAAGUUCGAUUGAAAAUAAAGAAAAACCAAAGGACGAUGACGAAAUCUAUUCAUGCGGAAUUCACAACUAAUCAUAAUAAAAAAAAGUAGUAUUUAUUCAACUUGUAACAGUAACGUACAAUAACACAUAAUGCUUUAUCAUUCAGUUGUGACAACCAAAUGAUUCAAAGUUUACAAGAAUAGUAGACGUCUUGCUCACAAGCUGAAAAUUCGGCCCACUACUCACCUCUGAGCUUCUUAGGCCUUUAUUUAUAAGUUAUAACAUAAUCUGUCUGAUCCGAAGUUUGUAUUUACAAUGUAUGACUAAAUUCAAAUGACGGUCUAACUCUAGAAGUGGUGUGUUUAGGUGCAGGGAUAAGCGAUGAGUAAAUUCUUUUGGGUGAUAAUGAAGGUAGGUUGUGGUAGAAAUGACGGUGAACUCAUAUUCGAGAAGAGGAAUUGUAUUUGUUAAUCCCCUCCCCUAGGAUG